AUGCGUGUGAGGAAAGGUGGGGGCAAGGGCGAUAAUGGCAGACGCCUCGUCUGCUGGAAACUGCUCUCCUCUCCUUCAAGCUCGCAAUCAUGGCCUAUUAUUCAUUCAUGGCUGAAAUUUGGGGAUCAAGCUGCUGAUUGCCUCGUCAUCCAGAAAAGUUAUUUUGGUGAGCAGAACAUUCGCUGGAAGAUGAACCAGCUUUUUCUGGCGAACGAAAUGAGCUCCUAUUUACUACUUUUGAAUUUGUUCAUUGAAACAUUGGGUCCAAGCUUGAUUGUUUACACAGCAAUGAGCACUCCUUUGUUCCCUCAACUUCUUCUAACAAAAUUAGCUAUUGUUAAGCCUGAUUUUUCUUUUACAUAA
rnacentral:rRNA from 1 species